AUGCACCUGAAGACCUGUAGAAGACAGCUUGCACGCCGUCUAUCUGGUUGGAGGUGCCCCUGGCAGCACCCAUCCUCGGCACCGGGAGCUGGCGUGAAGGAAACAGCCGGGGCUGGCAGAGCAGAAGUGAGGAGAGCAGAAGGCAUGAGAGGAGCCUCGCUGCUAGGGGCAGCCCAGCCGACCCCGGCGCUGCCCCUGCUUUACAAGCGUGGUGGGCGUGCAGGAGGAAGGAAGGGAAGGAAACAUAGGUGUUGCCUGGUGAAGACUGCACGGUGCUUUCUGAUGCUUUCCCAAGAUCUGGUUUUGUUGUGUCGGGUUGCAGCUGCAGACACAUUGCUUCACGUAUCCAUCUGA
rnacentral:lncRNA from 1 species